UACGUAGGCAGCAAGCGUUGUUCGGAGUUACUGGGCGUAAAGGGCGCGUAGGCGGCUUCUUAAGUCUGGUGUGAAAUCUCCCGGCUCAACUGGGAGGGUGCGCCGGAUACUGAGGGGCUAGAGUGUGGGAGAGGAAAGUGGAAUUCCUGGUGUAGCGGUGAAAUGCGUAGAUAUCAGGAGGAACACCGGUGGUGUAAACGGCUUUCUGGACCAUAACUGACGCUGAGGCACGAAAGCGUGGGUAGCAAACAGG
rnacentral:rRNA from 1 species